GUGGCAGACGGGUGAGUAACAUGUAGGUAUCUUCCCUUUGGCCUGGAAUAACACGAGGAAACUUGUGCUAAUACCGGAUAAGUCUUUACGGAGAAAGCUUUAUGCACCAUUGGAUGAGCCUGCACUUGAUUAGUUAGUUGGUAGGGUAAUGGCCUACCAAGACUUUGAUCAAUAGCUGAUUUGAGAGGAUGAUCAGCCACAUUGGGACUGAGACACGGCCCAAACUCCUACGGGAGGCAGCAGUGGGGAAUCUUGCACAAUGGAGGAAACUCUGAUGCAGCGAUGCCGCGUGAGUGAAGAAGGCCUUUGGGUUGUAAAGCUCUUUCGUCGGGGAAGAAAAUGACUGUACCCGAAUAAGAAGGUCCGGCUAACUUCGUGCCAGCAGCCGCGGUAAUACGAAGGGACCUAGCGUAGUUCGGAAUUACUGGGCUUAAAGAGUUCGUAGGUGGUUGAAAAAGUUGGUGGUGAAAUCCCAGAGCUUAACUCUGGAACUGCCAUCAAAACUUUUCAGCUAGAGUUUGAUAGAGGAAAGCAGAAUUUCUAGUGUAGAGGUGAAAUUCGUAGAUAUUAGAAAGAAUACCAAUUGCGAAGGCAGCUUUCUGGAUCAUUACUGACACUGAGGAACGAAAGCAUGGGUAGCGAAGAGGAUUAGAUACCCUCGUAGUCCAUGCCGUAAACGAUGUGUGUUAGACGUUGGAAAUUUAUUUUCAGUGUCGCAGCGAAAG
rnacentral:rRNA from 1 species